UCAGUUGUGUGAAAGCUGAUAAGAAGUUAUAAUGAGUUAGUUAAAUAGUACAGUUGUGAAUAUUUUCUGGGUUGUUUGGAUUAGUUAAUUAGUUUAUAGUUGUAAUGUUAGUGAUGUGCUGGGAAUACAACCAGGUCCCUUCUUUCCAAUCUUUGAGAGCCAAACCUCAAAGAUCAAAACAAGCACAGCAAAAUAACUAAACAUGCCAAGAUGACCGGAACAUUUUAGAGCUGGAGUUUGCAACUAUAAUGGCUGACCAGCAAACUACGCUCAGGAAAUGGAAGUCCCACCAGAAGGAAAAGGAGUAUGAAGAAUAGCCACGAGAGCUGCAGUGUCCCAGCCAUAGAAAAGAGAUGUGUUGCCUGGACAAUCUAAACAGCUUUAAGAUGUGGGUAUCCACAGUAAACCUGUUCAUCUUCCUCAUUGACAAAAACGUCAUCAUGAUGGACAGGUCAUCGAGUGGCACAUGUCCUAUCUGUUUGGCAGCACCUGGAAGUAGCUCGACGUUCUCCCAGAUCAUAUUCAUCAUAUAUGUUUAUAAUCUAAAAUUUUGUCAUCCCGGUUGUCCAUACUGUAAAUCUACUAUGUUGCUCUAAUCUGUACACACAUCAUCUACUGCAUGUUUGUCCAUCCUGAAAUAGGGAUCCUUCCUCUGCUGCUCCUCCUGAGGUUUCUUCCAUGUAUUCUUUUUUUUUUGAUUAAAAGGUUUUUUUGAGGGAGUUUUCCCUUAGUUGAUUCAAUUGUUUAAGGACACAGGAUGUUUUAUGCUGUACUGAUUGUAAAGCCUCUUGAAGCAAAUUUGUGAUUUGUGAUAUUGGGCUAUAUAAAUAAAAA